CCUACGGGGUGCAGCAGUGGGGAAUAUUGCGCAAUGGGCGAAAGCCUGACGCAGCGACGCCGCGUGAGGGAUGAAGGUCUUCGGAUCGUAAACCUCUGUCAGCAGGGAAGAACGGUCACUGUGCUAAUCAGCAGUGACUUGACGGUACCUGCAAAGGAAGCACCGGCUAACUCCGUGCCAGCAGCCGCGGUAAUACGGAGGGUGCGAGCGUUAAUCGGAAUUACUGGGCGUAAAGCGCUCGUAGGCGGUAUGUCAAGUCAAGGGUGAAAUCCCCGCGCUCAACGUGGGAACUGCCUUUGAAACUGGCAAACUGGAGUGUGUGAGAGGAUAGUGGAAUUCCAGGUGUAGGAGUGAAAUCCGUAGAUAUCUGGAGGAACAUCAGUGGCGAAGGCGACUAUCUGGCACAUAACUGACGCUGAGGAGCGAAAGCGUGGGUAGCAAACAGGAUUAGAUAUCCCGGUAGUC
rnacentral:rRNA from 1 species